rnacentral:lncRNA from 1 species
UAUGAAAACAUGUACAUUUAGCUCUAGCAAACCUUCUUCUAUCCAGAUGUUUUUAGAACCUGUUAUGGAACAGAAAUAAUAGUUCGAUGAUGGCAAACUAUUUACUCCAUCCCACAUGCAAUCUUAAACCUUUCAGAAGGUCAUAUGCUGCCUCCGCUAGUCAUAAAAUUUCUUUCUUCUACAUCUAAGCAAAUUCUUUUUUGUGUGUGGAUCAAAUAGAACGAUGUCUAUCAUGUAAAAUAGCAUGCUGUAAGAUCUGAGAAAUGAACCACAAUCCUCUUCCAGAUCUCUUUUAUCAAACAGAUAAUGCAAUCAAGAAAAAAAGAGUCAAACAGACACAUGAGCCAAUGGAAAAUCCUAUAUUGAACUGGUUGCUUAUAACGUAGCCUAAGAAAACUCCUUUUGCCAGUUUGAUAAUCCAAGAAGGCAAAUGACAGUAUGAUGCAUAAGAACACAAUUUAAGUUCUUGAACCCUAUUGCCCCAACCAAUCAUUUCCAAUGAAAAUACAGAAAAUUAAAGAAAAGAAUAACCUGAAAUCAAGUGGUGUCAAAAAGAUACCCCAAGUUGAGACCGGGACUAAGAUCUUUUGAGAAAAGAAGAUCUUGGGGUUUGGAAAAUCAAAAGAGAUCUUGGUGCUUUUUAUAAAGAAUUCUCAGGUUAAGUUAAAAUUUCAGGUCUUCAAUGACCCGACUAAAAUGGCAUGUCGAAAAUCAGAUGAAGGAAAGGGGAAAAAAGGAAAAAGAAGAAAAAACGAAAAAAGAGUUAGGAAAGUAAAUGAAAAAUGUUAAUAUUUUUGGUUACUCAAUCCUAAGCUUUCUUUGACAAAUCAAGCCAAAAUCGUUCCCAAACAGAGAAGCAAUUUGCUAUAAGUGAAAAAAAGUGAAAGGAACGAAAAAAAAAAAGGGAAAAAAGGUGAUGAAAUAAACCCUUACAUGUUGAACCAAGCAGAAAAGAUGGCUUUGAAAACCUCAAGAAAAAUCCAAUAUCUUGUUCUUCGACAGGAUAAAUGUGCGAGAGUAAUGGCACAUAGAAGAAAUAGAAAAGAGAGGUGCAAUAUGUGAAGUGACAGCCAUCGUCGUCGCAUCGCAUCUGCCUUUGGUAUUAUAGCCUCUGCUGUGUUGAUUUCCAGUCGAGCUAUUCUCUUUCCAAAGCCACUGGUCUUUGUUGUGGCGUCACAGUGCUAUGACAAUUCAUGGUCAUGCACUGUGUCUGGGGCUGUAACACUAAGGUAAGAGGAAGCUAAAUGUUAGGAGGACUACUGCCUAUUUGGUAUAAUAAGAGGAACCUCACACCUGAAACAAAGAUUCAUCUAUUCAAUCAUUCUUGUUCUGUAGGAAAUUAGGAACUCCCACUUACACUACAUCGUGAUCCAUAUUUUGUACAAACUUAAGCUUUAACAACUUCAAUAAUUUAUAAAUAAGAAAGAUAUGAAAGACUAAAAUACAAGAAGCAUUAAAUCACAGUUCACCUGUGUCUACAGAGCCAUCAUACAUGUGAAUCAUUUAGUGACCUAAUUUAUUAGGAUUUCAAAUAUUGCUAGAUUCUUAAUUGCUCAAACUUUUUAACUCGUUACUGCAAAGAUGGAAUGAACUUAAAAUCAGAACUUACUUUUAUUUGUAUGUCUUUGAAAAUGAUUCAAAUGAUAAUACAUCAACUCUUGAUGGCAAAAUGUGAAAGUACAAUACGGGUGCUGGAAAUAUACUUCUGAAAAAUGAAGAUCUUCAAUAAGAUCAAUGAAGCCUGGAAGAGAUCCAGGCUACAUUUACAAAAACUGAAAAUUUUCAAAAUUAAAGAUUUUAGUACAGUAUAGGAAAAGUGCCAACAUUCAUCUCAUAUCGGUUUUAAUGUAUUCAGAAUUAUAAUUGUGCUCCACCAUUUCUGUAUUCGAUGUGUGCCAUUGAUGUGUUAAUAUAUGUCUUGUCCUCUGGGUCUAGGUGACCACUUGCAAAAUUAUUUAUGUUUUUUUAUUAUUAGGUGAGAGAAUUCCAUAAUGAAGCCAGUUUUAACUUCUGAAGCUCGUCAAGUGUUGGGGAAUUUUCAGAGAUGAACAUUUGCUCUCAACAUCUCAUUAUAGUUCUUUUACUUUGUGUAAUUGCUAUCUUGAUGAAAGAAAUUUUCUAUUUAGAAGGUAAAAAAUAUUGAUCUUCUGAGAAAGGACUGAAUUGUGUUAUUGGGAUUUUGGUCACUGCCGUUGCAAGGUUUAGACCGAGACUAUGUUUCUUAAAGAUAUUAAUGAAGAAGAGGAAACUAGAAGAAAAAGAGGGUGUGGAGGAAGGAUGACGUCCCUGAUAAAACAAUGGUGGAGCUCAAUGUAGCAGCCCAACUUUAAGGUUCAUCCAAGUUUUAGAAAACUUUGUUUUGGUAAUCAGUAGAUGCAUAGGUCUGUCAUAUUUGGGGACCAAUUGACUUAUUUUGAUGUUGUUUAGCAACUUUGUUUUUAUUAUCAUAGAGAAGUUAUUAGGGAGAAAUUCCUGUGUCAGAUAGUCAAAAUCUGCAUGAUUGCAAGCUGACGCUAUCUUUCAUCCUGCACUGAAACUUAACUUGUUUCUGAUAAAUGCCUUUCUUUAAUAAAUUUCACAAUUGUCUUAGGCACAUUUUACUUGUCGUGUGUGUAAGCACGUGCACCGAAAGGAGCGAAAUUCACAGCACCUGAUGUGAGAUGGUCAAUCAUUAGGCAUUGCUGCCACCACCAUAGUCGGUUGUCCGGUUUAUGCUGCUUCUCAAGGUUAUACUUUCAUGUAUUAAGGCAUUUCUUUCUCCUUGCAUCAAAGUUAUGUAUUUUUGAAUUUGAAUGACUCUUUCUUCUUUAUCCUUUGCAGGGAUAUUAGCAUUCAUUUUGAAUUUGGGUAACAGAGAGCAGUCUACGAUGGGGCUGAUAAGAAGCAGUUUCUCUUUUUUGCUGGAAACUGGCUGUGGUAUUUACAUAGCCCAGAACUACAACGUCCCAAACAUAAAGAAGCUCAUAAGUACUUGGAUGUUUGUAGCAAAUCACAUAGAAGAAACCUACAGGAAACCUAACAAGGAUGUCAUCAGAAGGUAUCGAGAAACCAUAGCAGAUGAUACUUGAAGGUCACUACCAUGCCUUUUUUUCAACCUCCUCAUGCUUAGCCACAGUUACAGUGCUUCAAUUGCCUUGCUUUCCCUUGUUGAAGCUUUUGAAACUUCCAUGCGGGCCACUGCUGCGCGUGGAAAACCUUGAUGCAACUCUUUUGUAAACUUUCAUACUUACAUAGGGCUAUGUAAAUACUCUAUAUGUCCUUCCAAUUUUAUCGGGCGUCUUCAGAGUGACAUCAGUUUUGAAGACAACUAACAUUGAUAUAUAAUCUAAACAUUUGUCGGGGGAGGUUCCGAAUUUUUAUUUUUAUUUUGAACUUUCAUACUUAUGGAGGGUCAUAUAAAUCUUCUCUGAAUUGUUCUAAUUUUAUCACGUGACUUUCGAGUUUUUAUUUUUAUUUUUGAACUUUGAUACUUAUGAGGAUUAUAUAAAUCUUCUCUGAAUUGUUCUAAUUUUAUCAUGUGUUGGAUAUCAAUUUUGAAGAUAAUCAAUAUUAAUAAAUCAUCUAUAUAUGUCAUAUUAGAAUGUGAAUCUUCAACCUUAACUAAAUAUAUCUGAAUCUUUGAUAAAUAAAUAAUAUUUUAGAUAUAAAAAUAUAUCGAACUAAGAUUCCAACUCCCAACCAUUUAUAUAUAAAAAUGUAAAUAUCUGAAAGUUCAAACAUUCAAUUUUUUGUAAAUGAAUUUGAUAUCUUCACCAAGUCAAUAUCUUAGGUGUAACAGUGUAAAAACAUAUUUAAGGUGUAAACCCUUAACCUAUUUACAUGCUAACUUUUUUUAACUUAUUUAUCGUAAGAUCUAAAAUCGAAUCUCAUCUUUGUCAAAAAUAAAUUUUUUUUAAAAAAAAGUAGCCUUAUGAGGAAAAUAAAAAUGUUGAGUAGGUUUUUAAUGUAAAUUUCGUGUUAGAUAAUAUCUGAAAAAGGGAGUGCCAUACAGCUUUUCAUACAACAAGCAAAAGGUCUAUGGUGGUCGAGCCAAAAUCAACCGUGCAUGUAUUUGCCAAGCGUAGAAGGAAGCAAUAGGAAGUAUACUCUUCGAACACUAUGAACAGCAUCAUCGGGCACCAAUAAUAAAUACCAGGAGGUACAAGACAAAUGUCAAAGAUUAAAAUGUCCUAAGGCCGAUAACACAUCCCCAACACAGUCAUAUCACAAACGAGAGUGACGCAUAUAAGACAGAAUUUAGAGCAAGAAAAUAAAAACAAUAGCGAGAUAUUGAUACGGAUUCAGGCAAUCACGGAUCACUUCCACUUCUUGAACUUGCCACCAAACAUGCCGUGUUUCCCACCAAACAUGCCGUGCUUGCCAAAUUUUCCAUGCUUGAACUUGCCAUGGUGCUUGAACUUGCCAUGGUGGCCAAAGCCAUGGUGCUUGAACUUGCCAUGGUGGCCCAAGCCAUGGUGCAUUCCAUGUCCCAUCUGAUGAUGGCCGUGAGACAAUUGGUGAACCCCGUAAGCUGCCGCAGCAGCUGCAGCUCCCCCCGCCAGCAUCGCUCCCAUGUUAGAUCCAUGUCCUGUGUCCACAAUUUAUCAUCAAGUUUAGGGAACACACACUUUGGCCAUCCAUGUGAUGGAAUGAGUUCUCAGCAAUAGUGAUUUUAACAUGGUCUGUCUAAAGAAGCUUAAGUAUAUCUCCUGAAACUAAAGUUGGGCAACUUACCAUGAUGUGACGGAGCCGAUGGACCAGGAUAAGCGGCAGGUGGAUAUCCCGAAGGUGGGUAUCCGCCUGAUGGAGGAUAUCCAGGAUACCCUGAUGGUGGAUAGCCUUGAGGGGGAUAUCCCUGAGAAGGAUGUCCAUGCGGAGGAUAUGCACCUGGUGCGGGAGGAUAUCCUUGUGGAGGGUAUGCCCCGGGUGGUGGGUACGCCCCGGGGUAUGGAGGAUACCCCCCAUGCUGUCCAUGUCCAGCAAGCCCAUGAGCUAAGUUUGAAAACAAUCCUUUAUCAGAUUCGUCAUGCUUAUCCUUUCCCCCUCCCAUUUUCUCUUCAAUGAAGAAGGCUGAAAGAGAAAUGUGACAAUGGUUAAUGCUGAUUUCUUGAGAUGGAUCACAAACAAUAGAUAUGUACAGCAAAAUUAAUCUCUAAAACAUUUCUUAACAAGCUGAUAGAGAUCAUAUCUUCAUACAAUUCCAAACAUUAAUCCAAAGAAUGCCCUAGAUGCAAACUAUAUAGGAAAACACCAGCAGCCAUGAAGCAGCGUGUAAUGGAUCAAGAUAUACUCUAGACCCAAAUUACUCGGAAGAAGAGGCGUGUAUGGGUACUUAAUGAUGAAAUGUUAAUACAAACAGAUAAUGCCAUGUGUCCAAAAUAUAAAGAGUUCUGAUGCUACCAAUUUGAGAGAAGACACUACCAACUCCACAAGGAUUAGCUAAAUAGCAAAAACAUACCUAAAGAGGUAGCACAAUUGCUAAUAGCAUAUCCUUUAAAAUAAAAAAUAAAAAAAGCUUAAUUUACAAUAGCUAACAUAUUUUAUUUGUUAGAAUAAGUCUGAAGUUUCGCAACUACUAUACUUCAUUUGAUAGAACAAGUUUGACACAAUCUUUGACUUCAAAGACAGAUGAUUAACCAUACAAGAAGGAAAAAAGAACCAUCUUGAUCAACAUCCUUGAGUGCCAGCAGUAUGAAAACAUGUACAUUUGGCUCUAGCAAACCUUCUUCUAUCCAGAUGAGAACCUGAUAUUGAACCAAAAUAAUAGUUUGAUGAUGGCAAAUCAUUUACUCCAUCCCAUAUACAAUCCUAAACCUGUCAAAAGGUCAUAUGCUUCCACCUCUAGUCAUAAAAUUUCUUUCUUCUACAUCUAAGCAAAUUCUUUUUUGUGUGUGGAUCAAAUAGAAUGAUGUCUGUCAUGUAAAGUAGCAUGCUGUAAGAUCUGAGAAAUGAACCACAAUCCUCUUCCAGAUCUCUUUUAUCAAACAGAUAAUGCAGUCAAGAAAAAAAAAUCAAACAGACACAUGAGGUGAUGGAAAAUCCUACACUGAAAUGAUUGCUUAUAACCUAGCCUAAGAAACUCCUUUUGCCAGUUUGAUGAUCCAACAAGGCAAAUGACAAUAUGAUGCAUAAGAACACAAUUUAAGUUCUUGAACCCUAUUGCCACAACCAAUCAUUUCCAAUGAAACUACAGAAAAUUAAAAGAAAAGAAC